GAUGAACGCUGGCGGCGUGCUUAACACAUGCAAGUCGAACGGAAAGGCCAGUGCUUGCACUGUUACUCGAGUGGCGAACGGGUGAGUAACACGUGGGUGAUCUGCCCUGCACUUCGGGAUAAGCCUGGGAAACUGGGUCUAAUACCGGAUAGGACAAUGGUUUGGAUGCCGUUGUGGAAAGUUUUUUCGGUGUGGGUUGAGCUCGCGGCCUAUCCGCUUGUUGGUGGGGUAAUGGCCUACCAAGGCGUAGACGGGUAGCCGGCCGGAGAGGGUGUACGGCGAACGGGGGAAUGAGGAACGGGCCAGGGUCCUAAGGGAGGCGGGAGGGGGGAAUAGUGAAUAAUGGGCGAAAGGCUGAAGCAGCGACGAGGGGUGGGGGGUGAAGGAAGUCGGGUUGUAGACUCCUAUCGCUAGGGGCGAAGCGAAUUUGUGACGGUACCUGGCGAAGAAGCACCGGCUAACUACGUG
rnacentral:rRNA from 1 species